CAUUGAAACAUUGGUUCCCGUAUGAUCACUGAAAUUAAGUAACAUUGAGCUUGGUCAGUACCUACUUGGGUGACUGCUUGGGAAUAUCAGGUGCUGUAA